GCUUCUUAAGGACACACCUGCCUACAAAGAACAAGUUUUCUUCUUAAUCUUCUCUGUGUUGUAAAGUGUGCAAAGAUGGAAACAGAAACUACUAUAGACCAUGGUAUAUUAAAGUUAUCUGCUUGGAUUUCCUAUCUCAUCACCUCUGUGGUGAAACUUGUGUGAGGGCCAGUUUAUGAUCAUGGAUUCUAAGUGGAGAAUCAUCUCCCUCAAGCCAAUAUUAAGGUCAAGUUUGACCACCAAAGACACGAAACAAUGCCUUACUCACAUGAUGGUUAUCAGCACUGAAAAUUCAGGCAUGGAUAUUGGAUUUUGCCCAAAGAUUCUUCUGCAGAUUUGUCCAGCCCAAGCUGCUGCAGGGCACAGUCCAGGUGGUUCAGGGCUUCGCACAGCACCACCUCCCCAUCACGGUCCAAGCUAAUCCAGUGCAAAUUCAAGGUCUUCAGUGAUGUGCAGACAGUGAGAGCCGAGGCCAGCGCCUCACAACAGGCAGUGGUGAGCUGCCACAUAUCCAGCCCAAGAUGCUCUACUUUACAGUCUGGAUGCUUCAGAGCUUCACAUAACUGCUUGACACCAGCAUCUUGAAUGUCAUUGCUCCCUAGUUUCAGGAUCUUUAGUUUUUCAUUGCAAACAAGAACAGCAGAGAGGUUCUUACAACAAAGAGAAGUGAGGCAACAAUCUGCCAACCACAACUGCUCGAUGUGGCAAUUCGGGUGCUUCAGUGCCUCACAAAGAGAUGCCACUCCAUCAUCUUCCAGGAAAUUUGACUCCAGAUCGAGAAGGGACAGGGAUUUGCUGCACAAAAGGGCUUGGGAGAUGUAGUUACAGGCCACAGAGGUGAUGCAGCAGCACAUCAGCAGCACACAGUCUGGGUGCUUCAGGGCGUCACACAGCACCAGCAGCAUGCCUUCGUUCCUCAGGGGGGUUUCUUCCAGAGAGAGCAGCUUCAGCUUCUUGUUGCAGACAAGGACAGAGGCAAUUUCUUCACAAGCUUCUGCUGUGAUGUCACACAUUCCCAACAUCAGCUCUUCUAUGCUGCAUGCCCGGUGCUUCAGCAUCUCCCACAGCUGUCUGACAUCCGCAUGGGAGAGGCUAGAGCCCUGUAGGUUCAGGUGGUGUUUUAGAUGAGGGGUAUGAGGAAUGGCCUUAUGCAAGGCUGGGCUACUUCCAAAGUCAGAAGCAAAAUUAUACACUUAGUAAUGAACACUGAUGAGGUUGCAGCCGGCCAGGUGGGUCAGCAGCCCGUCCAGGCUCCCCCGUCUACCUUGACCUGGCCUCUCUGCCCAGCGGGAGCAGUGCCCAGCUAGUGGAUGAGGAAUCCUUCCCGCGGGUGCGUGCACUCUGCUAUGUCAUCAGUGGCCAGGACCAGCGCAAGGAAGAGGGCAUGCGGGCCAUCCUGGGUGCACUGCUGGCGGGCAAGCACAGGUGACCCUGAUCCCCAGCUUUGAUUCAGGGGUAAUGCCCGAGGGGUACGAGGAGAUGCACGCUGGGCACCAGGCGCUGGGCAUCACCCUGCUGGGCAGCAAUAGCACCGUCUCCAUGCAGGGCGAGGCCUUCCCCGCCUGCAAGGUGGAGUUCUAGCUCCGUCCCAGACAGCCACCCCCUCAGCCCGGAAUCUGCUACUGUCCCGAGAUUCC